GGGGAAUUUUGGACAAUGGGGGCAACCCUGAUCCAGCCAUGCCGCGUGAGUGAUGAAGGCCUUCGGGUUGUAAACCUCUAAAAGAGGGACGAUAAUGACGGUACCUCUUGAAUAGCACCGGCUAACUCCGUGCCAGCAGCCGCGGUAAUACGGAGGGUGCAAGCGUUAUCCGGAAUCACUGGGCGUAAAGGGCGCGUAGGCGGUCUGUUAAGUCCGAUGUUAAAUCCCGGGGCUCAACCCCGGAUAAGCGUUGGAUACUGGCAGGCUAGACGGUUGGAGAGGCGAGUGGAAUUACCAGUGUAGCGGUGGAAUGCGUAGAUACUGGUAGGAACACCCAUUGCGAAGGCAGCUCGCUGGACAACACGUGACGCUGAGGCGCGAAAGUGUGGGGAGCAAACC
rnacentral:rRNA from 1 species